rnacentral:lncRNA from 1 species
AAGUAUCUAUAAAGAGAUAAGAUCAACAGGUAAGGUGAUGGUGCCAACUUGAAUCAAACAAGAUUUAUAAACAGUGGAUGUGAUGAAAGUUUCUCCCAACGGAGUUUCCACAGAUAGGUCAAAGUCUAAUUUCUCCGGAGUCAAGUUUAAACGUUGAGCACAAGCAGGAGAGAUAAAUGAAUGGGUAGCACCGCUAUCAAGUAAGGUAUAAACUUCGCAAGAAUUUAUAAAUAGCUUACCCGUGAUCACCUCGUUUGGGUUCCUCGCAUUUUGACCAGUCACAACAAACGCUCUUCCAGGAACCGUUGACUUUGACUUUU